rnacentral:rRNA from 1 species
AGUAAUAUAUCGGAACGUGCCCUGGAGUGGGGGAUAACUAGUCGAAAGAUUAGCUAAUACCGCAUACGAUCUAAGGAUGAAAGUGGGGGAUCGCAAGACCUCAUGCUCGUGGAGCGGCCGAUAUCUGAUUAGCUAGUUGGUGGGGUAAAAGCCUACCAAGGCGUCGAUCAGUAGCUGGUCUGAGAGGACGACCAGCCACACUGGGACUGAGACACGGCCCAG